CCUACGGGUGGCAGCAGUGGGGAAUGUUGCACAAUGGGCGCAAGCCUGAUGCAGCCAUGCCGCGUGUGUGAAGAAGGCCUUCGGGUUGUAAAGCACUUUCAGCGGGGAGGAAGGCGUUAAGGUUAAUAACCUUGGCGAUUGACGUUACCCGCAGAAGAAGCACCGGCUAACUCCGUGCCAGCAGCCGCGGUAAUACGGAGGGUGCAAGCGUUAAUCGGAAUUACUGGGCGUAAAGCGCACGCAGGCGGUCUGUCAAGUCGGAUGUGAAAUCCCCGGGCUCAACCUGGGAACUGCAUUCGAAACUGGCAGGCUAGAGUCUUGUAGAGGGGGGUAGAAUUCCAGGUGUAGCGGUGAAAUGCGUAGAGAUCUGGAGGAAUACCGGUGGCGAAGGCGGCUCCCUGGACAAAGACUGACGCUCAGGUGCGAAAGCGUGGGGAGCAAACAGGAUUAGAUACCCGUGUAGUC
rnacentral:rRNA from 1 species